rnacentral:rRNA from 1 species
CAGCAGCAGCCGCGGGAAUACCAGCACCUCGAGUGGUCAGGAGGUUUAUUGGGCCUAAAGCAUCCGUAGCCGGUUGCAUAAGUUUUCGGUUAAAUCUAUGCGCUUAACGUAUAGGCCGCCGAAAAUACUGUGCAGCUAGGGAGUGGGAGAGGUACACGGUACUCGAUAGGAAGGGGUAAAAUCCUUUGAUCUAUUGAUGACCACCUGUGGCGAAGGCGGUGUACCAGAACACGUUCGACGGUGAGGGAUGAAAGCUGGGGGAGCAAACCGGAUUAGAUACCCCGGUAGUCCCUGUCUCUUAUAC